rnacentral:lncRNA from 1 species
ACCUGUACGUGGUGCGGUGGACGUGGCUGAUGGUGAUGCCCAUCAUCAUCAUCCUCGUCAACAUCAUCGGCUCCGCCGUGGCGUUCGCCAAGGUGCUCGACGGCGAGUGGACGCACUGGCUCAAGGUCGCCGGCGGCGUCUUCUUCAACUUCUGGGUGCUGUUCCACCUCUACCCGUUCGCCAAGGGCAUCCUCGGGAAGCACGGCAAGACCCCGGUCGUGGUGCUGGUGUGGUGGGCGUUCACCUUCGUCAUCACCGCCGUGCUCUACAUCAACAUCCCACACAUCCACGGACCCGGCGGUAAGCACGGGCACGGCGGCGCGCUGGGGAAGCACGCCCACGGACACCACGCCGGCAGCAAGUUC